rnacentral:rRNA from 1 species
AGUGAACGCUGGCGGCGUGCCUAACACAUGCAAGUCGAACGAUGAUGGAGGAGCUUGCUCUUCCUGAUUAGUGGCGCACGGGUGAGUAACGCAUAGGUAAUGUGCCCCUUAGUUCGGGAUAGCCACUGGAAACGGUGAUUAAUACCGGAUACUCCUUCUCAUUACAAGAUGAGUCGGGAAAGUUUUUUCGCUAAGGGAUCAGCCUAUGUCCUAUCAGCUAGUUGGUGAGGUAACGGCUCACCAAGGCUAUGACGGGUAUCUGGUUUGAGAGGAUGAUCAGACACACUGGAACUGAGACACGGUCCAGACUCCUACGGGAGGCAGCAGUGAGGAGUAUUGCACAAUGGAGGAAACUCUGAUGCAGCAACGCCGCGUGGAGGAUGACGCAUUUCGGUGUGUAAACUCCUUUUAAGAGGGAAGAUUAUGACGGUACCUCUUGAAUAAGCACCGGCUAACUCCGUGCCAGCAGCAGCCGCCGUAA